UUGUUGCCAGAACCUGCAGAACAAGAAUUGAGGCAGGUGAAGAACCAGAAAUCUCCCAAAUACAAUCUUCCAUGGAAGAUCUUAUGUGGUGUUAUUGAUGUUAGUGUCUGGCCGAGAUGGAAAGCGGCGAGGCUUAUGCUCGACUCACUUUGCAACCAUCUUCAGAUGAUAUGACAAUGGAAAAUCCUACUCAAGAGUUGGUAGCAAAGGAUAUUCAUGGGGUUGAAUGGAAGUUUAAGCAUAUAUACAAAGGACUUCCAAAGAGGCACUUGCUUACAAUUGGCUGGAGCGCAUUUGUUGCCAAAAUAUAAAUUCUUUUUAGUAUGGUGCGUAAACAUAAAAUGUAGCAUCCAUUUGCAAAAAUCAUGUAUAUAUUGCAUCUAGAUAAUAUAGGACUGUUAUCUUAUCCUUAAAUCCCAUUGAAUGCUUGAAUAUAACUAAUAUUUUUUCCACUAGAUUGACAAGAGAUGCGCGAGUGACAUGAGAACUUUUAGUCUUCUAAUACCAAUGAAUUUCAAUUCAAAUCUAAAUACUGCUUAAUCAAUAUUCAAUUACCUCAUUUGGCCCUUUAGUACUCAACUAAAAUUUUUUCAGUUAAGAAUUACUGAUUCUACUAAAACAUUGCUCUGUUUGGUAUCUGAGACUGAUUGCUACGCUAUUAUGCGAGCUUCAUAUGCAAAGAAUAUUUACAUCCGUUACACAUUGCUUAAUUCAAGUUAGCAAAGGUGUUGAAGCAACAUUGGUGCAAACAUUUCCAUCUUGAGGCACAGAUUAAUGUUAGCGAAAAGAAGAGAACAUCAACAUCUCGCAACAAGAACACUGAAAUUCAGAUUAAUGUUAGCGAAAAGAAGAGAACAUCAACAUCUUGCAACAAGAUCACUGGAAUUCAGGUUUUAAUCUUGACAUUCCUCACUAAAAGGAAUUUUAUAUUUUAUACUUUGCUAAUGUUGCAACACUUGAUUCUAUUGCAGUUUUUCAAGAAAAACCACCAAAGAAUCAUGAUCACAUUAGAAGAUUUCGAAGUCCAAAUAUUAGAAGGCAUAGAACUUGUUUAGGCAUUUAAAUGUAGAACACUCAAUACCAAUUCUAGGAUAGUAAUAUUCUACGACAUGAAAGAUUCAAGUAAAGUUGUAGUUUGUAAUAUUCAUGUGCUUUAUAAUCCUAAUAGAGGAAAAAAAAAUUAA